rnacentral:rRNA from 1 species
GACGAACGCUGGCGGCGUGCUUAACACAUGCAAGUCGAACGGAAAGGCCCUGCUUUUGUGGGUCGCUCGAGUGGCGAGCGGGUGAGUAACACGUGAGUAACAUGUCCUUGUCUUUGGGAUAUCUUCAGGAAACUGGGGAUAAUGCCGGAUAGGAGCUCCUGCUGCAUGUGGGGGGUUGGAAAGUUUCGGCGGUUUGGGAUGGUCUCGCGGCUUAUCAGCUUGUUGGUGGGGUAGUGGUUUACCAAGGGUUUGACGGGUAGCCGGCCUGAGAGGGGGAACGGCCACAUUAGUACUGAGGGACGGACCAGUAUCCUACGGGAGGCAGCAGGGGGGAGUAUUGCGGAAUGGGCGGAAGCCUGAUACAGCAACGCCGCGUGCGGGAUAACGUGUUUCGGGUUGUAAACAACUUUCGCCUUAAACAAGGCGUGAGUGACGGUAAUGGGUAAAGAAGCACCGGCUAACUACGUG